AUUGAACGCUGGCGGCAGGCUUAACACAUGCAAGUCGAGCGAGCGGCGGACGGGUGAGUAAUGUCUGGGAAACUGCCUGAUGGAGGGGGAUAACUACUGGAAACGGUAGCUAAUACCGCAUACCAUCAGAUGUGCCCAGAUGGGUUUAUGUAGUGGGGGGGGUAAUGGAUCACCUAGGCGACGCUCCCGAGCUGGUCUGAGAGGAUGACCAGCCAAACUGUAACUGAGACACGGUCCGGAGUCCUACGGUAGGCAGCAGUGGGGAAUAUUGCACAAUGGGCGCAGGCCUGAUGCAGCAAUGCCGCGUGUGUGAAGAAGGCCUUCGGGUUGUAAAGCACUUUCAGCGAGGAGGCGUUACUCGCAGAAGAAGCACCGGCUAACUCCGUGCCAGCAGCCGCGGUAAUUC
rnacentral:rRNA from 1 species